rnacentral:lncRNA from 1 species
CUGGCCUUCUCUUCUUGCUGUCAACUUGUCAAGGUUUCAAGGUAAGAGAAAAAAUUUUAUUUCAUUUUCAUCUUUUUUGUGUUAAUUAAGAUCUUAUGUCUAUUGAUGUCAAUGGAAAUUAUAGGUUAUAGAUAGAAGCUUAAAAAACAUAUGAAACAUCAUCAGUUAGAUCUUGGUUUGGCCAGUCUGAUCUAUUCUCUAUUAGUACGUGUGUUCAAAACUUUCUUUCCCUUGUAUUAGUUAGUUGAUAAAUCCACAUAUUUAUUCAUUGUUAUUCACAAUGAUGGAUCCCUCCUGUAAUAAUAACAUAGAAGAAUAGAACAUGUCAAUGUUAUGGUAUAUAUGUUGGUAACAAAGGCAAAACAACCCUUUUUUUACUCCUUUUGUUUAUAUUAACUUGUGAUUAAGGAUGAUAGAUUUCCCUUCUCCCAUUUUCCUACUCAUAUAGUACUAGUGUAGUUAGUUAAGCCAUAAACCCAUAACAUAAGCAUUAAUGCAUGCUAAACAAUAUACCAAUCCUUGGUUUGUUGUAUUUAACCACCAAAAAAGUUUGAUGUUUUUUUUGUUUCCAUCUCCCCCCCAGAUGGAUCCCAAUGAUUUGGCUAAGGAAAAGCUUAGGACUGAAAUCAAUAACAAUGAAGAACUUAAGAGGUGGGCAUCAGAACAAGAUAUAGAGAAUUUGAUCAGUCUAGGAGUGCAGUUUCAACGUGUACCUGUUCUAGCCAUUUCAGAUGUGUACCUUACAACUAAGUCUAAUGUUCAAGCAUCCAAGGUUCUGUUGCAGCUUAUUGAGGUAAAUUCAAUAAAAGAUUGUAAAUGUUAUUUAAUAACUUAUAAUGUAUAAGAUUUUCACCAUUUUACAUAUAUAUGCAUGUGAUGUUAACUAUCAAUUUAUUCUACUUGUGUGAGCAGCCCCCUGCAAAUCUUCCGGUAACCUUGGGCAUUGGUGAGGUGGUGGAAACGAAUCCUGCUGAAAGUUGAUUGUGCAGUUUGAAGUUGGAGAGUUGAUUGUGUGGCUCGAAGCUAUAUAGAUGUCUUGUCGUCUGGAAUGAAAACUAGUAGUACUUUUGUUUGAGAUUGUUUGUUUUUAUUGAUCAGAUUAUUAUGCUUUUAUUGUCUAAUUACAGUAUGUACUUCACUUGUUUUGGAUUAUGGUAAUGGUAAUGGUUAUUUGGAUUAAUCUUAUUGCAUGUAU